AGUGAACGCUGGCGGCGUGCCUAAUACAUGCAAGUCGAACGGAGUGGCGCAUGGGUGCGUACUGUAUAGCUAAUCUGCCCUACACUAGAGGACAACAGUUGGAAACGACUGCUAAUACUCUAUAGUGUAGGAGGUGACUAUAUUGUAUCAGCUAGUUGUUGAGGUACUGGCGCACCAAGGCUAUGACGCAUAACUGCUCUGAGAGGAUGAUCAGUCACACUGGAACUGAGACACGGUCCAGGCGCCAACGGGAGGCAGCAGUAGGGAAGAUUGCGCCAUGGGGGAAACCCUGAGGCAGCAACGCCGCGUGGAGGAUGACCCUUUUCGGAACGUAAACUCCUUUUGUUAGGGAAGCGGUACCUAACGAAUAAGCACCGGCUAACUCCGUGCCAGCAGCCGCGGUAAUAC
rnacentral:rRNA from 1 species